GAUGAAGAACGCAGCGAGAUGCGAUAAGUAAUGUGAAUUGCAGAAUUCAGUGAAUCAUCGAAUCUUUGAACGCACAUUGCGCCCGCCAGCAUUCUGGCGGGCAUGCCUGUUCGAGCGUCAUUUCAACCCUCGAGCCCCCCCGGGGGCCUCGGUGUUGGGGGACGGCACACCAGCCGCCCCCGAAAUGCAGUGGCGACCCCGCCGCAGCCUCCCCUGCGUAGUAGCACACACCUCGCACCGGAGCGCGGAGGCGGUCACGCCGUAAAACGCCCAACUUUCUUAGAGUUGACCUCGGAUCAGGUAGGAAUACCCGCUGAACUUAAGCAUAUCAAUAAGCGGAGGA
rnacentral:misc_RNA from 1 species